rnacentral:rRNA from 1 species
ACUCAAAGGAAUUGACGGGGACUUGCACAAGCAGUGGAUUAUGUGGUUUAAUUCGAUGGUAAACGAAGAACCUCACCAGGGUUUGAAACCUAAAUGAAAGCCUCCCGAAAAGGAGGCCCUCGCAAGACAGUUAGGCAGGUGCUGCAUGGCCGUCGUCAGUUCGUGGUUUGAAUUGUUCCCUUCAGUGGGGUAACGAACGCAACCCUCGUCGUGUGUUACAAGUGUCACACGAGACUGCCCCCGCUUUAGUGCGCGAUCGAAAGAUCGUUUACUGGAGUGGGGGAGGAAGGCGAGGAUGACGCCAGGUCAGCAUGGCCCUCUGAUACCCUGGGCUACACACAUAAUACAAUCGCAUCUACAAAGCGACGCAAUGGGGCGACCCGGAGCAAAUCGUGAGAAAAGGUGCGCCAGUUCGGAUUGAAGUCUGCAACUCGACUUCAUGAAGCCGGAAUUGCUAGUAAUCGUGGGUCAGACAUACCACGGUGAAUACGUUCUCAAGUCUUGUACACACCGCCCGU